rnacentral:lncRNA from 1 species
UCUCAAAUAAAGGCAACAGUAGUAUACCGCUGUUCAAACUCAUAAAUCCAUGGACAAAAAACAAAAUCGGGGUAACAAUCUAAAACUGAGAGAAACGCAUAAAUAUAAGAGGAGAACAACGACACAACACUACAAUGUAACUAACACACACAGAAACGGACCAAGCAUCAGACAAAAUCCCACGAGAAUAACAAAUAUAACAUCAAAACCAAAUACAUGAAUUUGGGAUAGACAAGUACCGUGACACGUCUUAUCGCAAUGUCAAUUUACACUCAAAAAAAUAAGAGAAAACAAACGACGCAACGUUAAAUUGUAACACACACAGAAACGAAC